rnacentral:misc_RNA from 1 species
GAUGAAGAACGUAGCGAAAUGCGAUAAGUAAUGCGAAUUGCAGAAUUCCAGUGAAUCAUCGAGUCUUUGAACGCACAUUGCGCCCCCUGGUAUUCCGGGGGGCAUGCCUGUCCGAGCGUCAUUGCUGCCCUCAAGCACGGCUUGUGUGUUGGGCCCCGUCCUCCGAUCCCGGGGGACGGGCCCGAAAGGCAGCGGCGGCACCGCGUCCGGUCCUCGAGCGUAUGGGGCUUUGUCACCCGCUCUGUAGGCCCGGCCGGCGCUUGCCGAUCAACCCAAAUUUUUAUCCAGGUUGACCUCGGAUCAGGUAGGGAUACCCGCUGAACUUAAGCAUAUCAAUAAGCGGAGGA